GUCCUCCUGGCGCCCGCCCGCCCCCGGCCCCUGCGGGGCGCAGCUCUGCGUGUUCUCAUGCCGACCCUCUCUUUUUCCUUCCUCGCUGCCUCCCCGAGGUCCUCCCUCCGAGCCCCGGCGCGGGGCAUGAGGAGCCCCCGGGUGCCGCCCAAAGACGAGCCGGUUGCGCGCACACCUCGCCAGCGGCAGACGGGGACAUGAGCAGCGCGCACAGGGUCCCGAGCCCGGCGGCCAGCCCCAUCCGGCGGCGGCCCGCGGGUCAACGCUGCCCGGGAGAAUGAGGCAGGAGCCGGCGGCAGCCUCCUUUUUUUCCUCCUCUUCGCCUUCCUGCGGCUCCGGCGCUCCGGACCCGGGCCGAGCUUUGGCUCUGCUGCGUGCCCCGCGCGCCCCCCAGCCGGCUCCGGAUGCGCUUCUCGGUUAGCCUGGCGAGGAAGAUAAAGACAUUUGCAACCAAGAUGGUAAUCACAAGUGGAAAUGAUGAAGACAGAGGAGGUCAAGAAAAAGAAAGUAAGGAGGAGAGUGUCUUGGCAAUGCUGGGGAUUAUCGGGACCAUUCUGAACCUGAUUGUGAUCAUAUUUGUCUACAUAUACACCACCCUGUGAAUGGCCCAGAGCGUCCUCAGAGGCCUCGGGAUGGCCAGAGACGGAAGUCCUGCGUGUCAGCGUAUCACUGACCAGACCCUGCGAGAACCAGCAGGCUUGACCCACCCACACCACCCAGUCAAAUGCACCUUCAGACUUUACAGAAGGUCACACAAAUAGACCGAUCCUGCUGCAGGGAGCAGACACUAAAGCACAAUGAUUCCAACAAAACUCAUUCACAGCACUAGGAACUCAACGUCUUUGGCAGGGGGCCCAGAAGAAUGCUUGGACAACCAGCCUCUGACACCAUCGGUGAGCGGAUGGGUGCAGAAAUUCAUUAUUCCAGAUCGCUGACGGAUAUCACAUAUUUGAAAAGAUGAAUAGGGCGGACACGGCUCAGAGGUGUGUCUCCCAGGACAAGUGUUUCAUCUUCACUUGACGAGCUAUUUAGUGGAAAAACCACAGGGGCAGCCCUUUGACAGGCAUCCCAUUCAUCAAAAGUGUCUAACUAUUUGAUACCAGGGAGAUAACUUAUUUUUCUUUUUUCAUUGGCUUGAUGUGUGUAUCUGUUCAUAUCAAGGUUUAUAAAUAUAUAUUUUUAAUAAAUAUGCUGUAUUUUUUAGCAUGAACCAAAUACUUGGAAAGGCACUCCCAGAUCCAUAGAGCUUUCCUUGGUUUUAUGUGCUUUGUCCUCCCCCAACUGCAGGUGUUCUCUUGUGGAGCCAUUCUAGUCCUCUUGUCUCAUCUCGAAUCUUUUACUUUUGCGCUCUUGUUCUCUCUCUCUCUCUCCUUUUCUCUCUCUCUGCCUCUUUGGUCUGAAGGACAUUUUCCCAUACUACCAGCCAUGGUUUUGGUUGGUGCAUGUUUCAAGAUUGUCUAUUGAGUGGCUUUUUGUUGUUCUCUCGGAGAUGUCAAACGAUUGUGGGCAUGCAGACCUUAGAUGCACCCUAUCUUUACUGAGAAUUAUGCAUGAAUAAGGGCUGAGUGAUAGAUCAGCUUAAAAUUAAAAGGACUACUGUUGAGGAAGAAGAGCGUGGCUGUAUUUGCAGAUGAACUUUUGAACAGAAUAUUCAGCUUCUUAUUGGCAGUGUUAUUGUUUCAUUCUUGUGACCAUUCGUUUAUCAGAUUUUGAUUUUAGUGGUCAUAUACCGUGACAGUUGGGAAGAACAAGGCGGAAAGCUCAGAACUAGGUGCAUUACUCCUUCCUUGGCAAGAUACCUGGGAUCCUCUUCAAAAGUGGGUGGGGUAUAAAUGACACAAGAACUCCCCCAUGAGAGCUCAUGGUGGUUCAGGCUGUGAGGACAGCCUUGUGACAAGUGACUUUUCAGGGGCAUAACGAGGGGAUUUAAUGAUUGCCCUAAAGGACUGCUGCAUUUUUAAAGCCCCUGGUUUACACCCACGUGAAGCAACUUCCUCUCUGGCAGGGAUGGUUGCAUAAAAACAAAUUGGCUCCCUUCUCCUGGCUCCCUGAAAUGGGUCCUUGCCUGGCUACAGUGACAUGGCCUAAAAGAGAGGGUUAGUAUUCCUUCUGCCAUUGCCAGCUGUAUUAAUCGGUUUUCACACUGCUGAUAAAGACAUCCCUAAGACUGGGCAAUUUACAAAAGAAAGAGGUUUAUUGGACUUACAGUUCCACAUGGCUGAGGAGGCCUCACAAUCACGGUGGAAGGUGAAAGGCACGUCUCACAUGGUGGCAGACAAGAAAAGUGAACCAUGUGCAAGGAGACUCCCAUUUUUAAAACAGAUCUCGUGAGACUUACUCACUAUCAUGCAAACAGCAUGGGAAACCUGCCCCCAUGAUUCAGUUACCUCCCACUGGGUCCCUCCCACAACAUGUGGGAAUUCAAGAUGAGAUUUGGGUGGUGUGACAGCCAAACUGUAUCACCAGCCUUGCCCCUAGGCAAAAGCAGCAGCAGUCUGCCUGGCUGGAUUCAAAUGAUUCUGAGGCUUCUAUAGUCUAUGCCUCCAGAUCUCUCCCUCACCCAUGCUGUGGUGUCUGAAAUUCCGUCGUUAGAGAGUCAUUUCUUGGGCUCUGUUAAAGGGACCAGGCUCAUUUAUAAAGCAAAUGCUCCUGAGCAGCUGGCUCUGGCAUUGAUUUAUCAGAUAUCUUCUCUUCCCUGCCAGAAGGAAGGAAGCUAAGGUGCAGGUAGGGUGUACCGUGUGCCCAGACACUGUGCCAAAAGCUUUGGAUACUUGGAGUCAUUUAAUUCUCGUAGUAACCCUGUGAGAGAGGGAGGUUUUCCUCCCCCACGUUGUAGAAGAAGGGAAAAUGGUUCAGAGAGAUCAAGAAAUGUCCCUGAGAUCACAUUGCUCCUGGUGGAGUCAGGAUCCAAACCCAAUGUGUCUGAUUCCUUAGCCCUUGGGGGUCUGGAGGCUGCUGAACAAGAGAGGAGGUGGAGAGGAGCUAAAGCCGCAGGAUACCACUGUACACCCUUCUCCCUCCCCUGUAAAAACAACCCUGGGAACUCCUUGGACACUAGCAGAAUAUUAUACACUAAGGACAAGGGAUGAGAGGAGGCUGGUUAGAAAUAAAGCAAUGUCAGGGGAAAGGAGCUACUCAGUAGGCUCUAUGUGAUUCUAGAAAGACUGUAUGAAAAUUCUGAACAUUGAACAGAAUAAAUAAUAAAGGUGCAAUGGAAAAAAAUA